GCACUUUCAAUAGCCGGGGGAUGCGCUUAUAUUAUGGGGGUCGGGCAACCGACUAUGGCGAUAAACGUCAUGCUUAUUACCCGUUGCGGACCCGGGGGCAGUACCCGGCGCCUCCACCAUUUCCCGGCCACAGCUUCGCGUACCACAGGCGGGCCUUGAUAUGGGGGCGAUACAGGAUCGACGUGCGUGGAAACGGUAUGAUUUUCGCCCGGCAUGGUACCACCGUUAUCGGGCCGAUCGUCAAUUGCGAACGAUAAUCAAAUCGCACUCGCUGCCUAACACUAGGUAAGCGCGGUCCGGGGGGCACCGGGCAACAGAAGCCCCCCACU
rnacentral:tmRNA from 2 species